CGUACAUAGGUUGAAUAAAAGUACAUUAAGAAUGAGCAAUAUAACGAGGACUUAGAUGGAACAAGUUCACCGCCACGUGGCGUUCUCAAUCCAAUAACACAUUGCCAUGUGGAGAAAAACUUGCACAUGAUAUAUUGCAUUAUUGGACGAGGGAAGCCAAAUGGCGGUGAACCCAUUCCAUCCAAGUCCUCCCAUAUUAGACCAUGACACAGUGUGGCAGAAGGUGCGUCAUUAAGUACAGGCACCUUAUUGUGAAGGGAGAGUGUUGUUUACCAUUCGUCAAGUAGUCAUAUCCAAACCCACUUUGCUGUUAAUCCCCACCCAAAAUGAGAACUAGAUAGGUAAAGCUGUUAUCCAAUAGGGUGAAAGCAGGCAGACUCGAGUCCCUACACCUUUAAGGUUGCUUAUUGCAAAAUUUCUCCAUACUUGAAAUACAAUUCUAACAUGACCUAUUCAAAUUAGUCUAUGCAUGUCCAUAACAUGUGCGUUAUUGGUAAAAUAGAAAGCAAAGCCAAACCUUGGGAUUUCUAAAGGAUUCCGUACAGAAGAAAUGAAAAAAAGGAAAUUAACAAAAGUUUUAGCUCCAACUUUAAAAAAUCAUAUGAACCAACUGGUGGAGGCUAGCUAGAACCAUUAUAGUUUGGCCACCUGAAAAAGACAUGUUCUAUUGCUAGCAAUCAUGCUCUUCUAAGUGCCGGAACCUAAAUUCUUCUUCUUCUGACCUCUGGUGGCAUCUUCAACUUAAACAACAACAACAACAACAAAGCCUUUUCCCACUAAGUGGGGUCGGCUAUAUGAAUCCUAGAACGCCAUUGCGCUCGGUUUUGUGUCAUGUCCUCCGUUAGAUCCAAGUACUCUAAGCCUUUUCUUAGAGUCUCUUCCAAAGUUUUCCUAGGUCUUCCUCUAUCCCUUCGGCCCUGAACCUCUGUCCCGUAGUCACAUCUUCGAACCGGAGCGUCAGUCGGCCUUCUUUGCACAUGUCCAAAUCACCGGAACCGAUUUUCUCUCAUCUUUCCUUCAAUUUCGGCUACUCCUACUUUACCUCGGAUAUCCUCAUUCUCAAUCUUAUCCUUUCUCGUGUGCCCACACAUCCCACGAAGCAUCCUUAUCUCUGCUACACCCAUUUUGUGUACGUGUUGAUGUUUCACCGCCCAACAUUCUGUGCCAUACAACAUCGCUGGCCUUAUUGCCGUCUUAUAAAAUUUUCCCUUGAGCUUCAGUGGCCUACGACAGUCACACAACAUGCUGGAUGCACUCUUACACUUCAUCCAUCCAGCUCGUAUUCUAUGGUUGAGAUCUCCAUCUAAUUCUCCGUUCUCUUGUAAGAUAGAUCCUAGGUAGCGAAAACGGUCGCUUUUUGUGAUCUUCGCUAAAUUGCUCCGGUCAUUAGUGUGGAUAAGUAUAUAAAUGGAUAGAGAUAGGAAAGCAAACACAAGAUGUACGUGGUUCACCCAGAUUGGCUACGUCCACGGAAUAGAAGAGUUCUCAUUAAUUGUGAAGGGUUUACACAAGUACAUAGGUUCAAGCUCUCCUUUAGUGAGUACAAGUGAAUGAUUUAGUACAAAUGACAUUAGGAAAUAUUGUGGGAGAAUGAUCUCGUAAUCACGAAACUUCUAAGUAUCGGAGUGUGGUAUCAUCUUGACUUGCCUU
rnacentral:lncRNA from 1 species